rnacentral:tRNA from 1 species
GGCGAGAUAGCUCAGUUGGUAGAGCAGAGGACUGAAAAUCCUUGUGUCCCCGGUUCAAAUCCGGGUCUCGCCACCA